rnacentral:rRNA from 1 species
CUGAGCGGCGGACGGGUGAGUAACGCGUGGUAACCUACCUCAUACAGGGGGAUAACAGUUGGAAACGGCUGCUAAUACCGCAUAAGCGCACAGUACCGCAUGGUACCGUGUGAAAAACUCCGGUGGUAUGAGAUGGACCCGCGUCUGAUUAGCUAGUUGGUGGGGUAACGGCCUACCAAGGCGACGAUCAGUAGCCGACCUGAGAGGGUGACCGGCCACAUUGGGACUGAGACACGGCCCAA